GAUGAACGCUGGCGGCGUGCCUAAUACAUGCAAGUCGAGCGAACAGACGAGGAGCUUGCUCCUCUGACGUUAGCGGCGGACGGGUGAGUAACACGUGGAUAACCUACCUAUAAGACUGGGAUAACUUCGGAAAACCGGAGCUAAUACCGGAUAAUAUAUUGAACCGCAUGGUUCAAUAGUGAAAGACGGUUUUGCUGUCACUUAUAGAUGGAUCCGCGCCGCAUUAGCUAGUUGGUAAGGUAACGGCUUACCAAGGCAACGAUGCGUAGCCGACCUGAGAGGGUGAUCGGCCACACUGGAACUGAGACACGGUCCAGACUCCUACGGGAGGCAGCAGUAGGGAAUCUUCCGCAAUGGGCGAAAGCUUGACGGAGCAACGCCGCGUGAGUGAUGAAGGUCUUCGGAUCGUAAAACUCUGUUAUUAGGGAAGAACAAAUGUGUAAGUAACUAUGCACGUCUUGACGGUACCUAAUCAGAAAGCCACGGCUAACUACGUG
rnacentral:rRNA from 1 species